ensembl:lincRNA
AGAGAACCUAGAACAGAGUCCCGAGGAGUAGCAUCUGGAGAUGUCCUGGUGACCAGAGAGGACUUAAAGUGCUUCAGGGAGUAAAAUGCGUUUCUGCCCCGCUCCAUGUGAUAGAACAGCCCGGCAUCGUGAGCAUGAGCACAGGAGCAGGUGCUCACAGCAGGGAGCUCCCAACAGCUGCCGUCCAGGGUUCACUGCCCUCACUGAGGCACUCGAUCUCGGGGAUAAGUCUGUGAGCUCCAGGGAUGGGUUCCCACAACUGGUGUCCACCAAGAGAGGCCUGAUGAGUCAUCAUCUGUUCCUCACUGCACAGUCAACCCCUUGGCUGCUUGCCAUUCAUGAACCAGCUCACUGUGAGAACUAGUGCCUGUUCAGGGCACGAUCUAUACAUGGUCAACUACCACCGAGGAUGUCUCCGUGUGUGACACAAGUGAAACCUGAAUCUACAAAUAGAUCCCUAACAAUAAUUACAACCCAAGAUUUUCCUGGCCUACAAGAAAUGGCCAGAUGACAUUGAGCCCAUUCUCUAGCAUUUGACAGUUAAAAGUCUCAUUUCACAUUGAUGGAGACAGAUAAACACAAGGAAACAUAAAGAAUCCACUCAAGCAAUGCACUGGCCAGAGCUUUAUUCACCAAGGACAAACAUUUGCUCAGUGAUGUAGCCAUGCCAGGUCCUGAGAACAUCGCUCCUUGUACUGACUGUCUAACCCAAGGCCACAUGGUUAUGUCAUUCUUCAGACUCUUUUAGCUUCACUUAUGACAAGAUUGAAAAAAUGAAAAAAAAAAAACAUUCCUAAAAGUGUGCAUCUUUCCAGUAUUGGUGAGAAUUUGAGAAAUAUUAGAGGACUAAAAUCCAUGCUCAAAGAGAAACUUCCUUCUUUCCAAUUUUAACUUUUUCCAAAGAUUGGCGAAAUUUCUAAGUACAGAUAAUAAAAAAUUUGGGAAGAUUAUUUAAAACUGGAUUUAAAGCUUUUUUCACAUUUAAUUCGGUUAUGGGAAAAUUAAUACUGAACACAUUCUCUUCCAUCCUGAUUUUCUGCUUCUUUUUCAUGUCUGUUCUUAGCAACAUGAGCACAAGAUGCAGAUAAGUAAGCUUACCACUCUUUCAACACCAAAUAUGAAGCUUAUAAUAUAACACAAAAUAUUUUAUUUUAGUUAGGUGUGGUGGCACAUGCCUAUAAUCCCAGCACUCUGGAAGGCUGAGGCAAAAAGACUGAAAGUUCAAGCCUAACCUGGCAACUUAGUGACUUAGCAAGACGCUGUCUCAAAAAAAAAACAAAAAUUAAAUCAAAAUACAUUUUAAAAACUGCAAAGGCUGAAGCUGUAGCUCACUGUGAAGGCCCUGAUAUUUUGUUUUUAUUUUCUGUAGGAAUUUCUGAAGAUGUUCCCUCUUUUUGUGUUAUUUGGAUUCUGAUAUUAGCUUCUGGAUUAGAGACUUAUUACAGAUGUUGAUUCAAAGCAAAAUAAAUUUUAAAAACUACUUGAAAUAUGCUAAAUUAAAACAAUAAAAGAAGGCAUUCCUCCAUCGUUAGUGAUGAGAAUAAUAUGCCACCACUAUAUACAAAUAUUGUACUGUCAAGCCUUCCGAAUUAGUUUUCCUGCUAGGAAGCUUGGUUUGUCAUUUUCUUGACACCAGAUUCAUGUAUCUGUAAACUGACAGGAGCAUGUGGGCUACAGAGAAGAGUAAAGCCAGUGACACUGUGACCCAACACUAACCCCAGUGUGCUAGAGACACCGGACAAGAGACAGGAUUUUGCAGAAUUCUCUGGAGGUGGAGGCUUGUGUGAUAACAACUCAGAAACACAGAGAAGCCCUGCUUACUCCGAAAUCUUACUACAGCUUGAUGUGGUGCUUGGAUUCUAACCCUUGGAUUCUUUCCAUUCCAUUAAAAA